CUACUCAGAAAGGAGAUAGUUCUGAACAGAGGACGUGCCAGACAGACAGUAAAUCUUGUAUGAUUUACUCAAGGCUCGUGUUUUUAUUCCCUCUAAAUUUUGAAGGAGGUGAAAGAUGUGUGUGAACACCUAGGAGUAUAUAUAAAAACAAAUGUGUGCAUAAAAUUUUGUAUCUAAACCAUCUGAAAUAACUCAAGCCUGUCAGUUGGAUUCCCUUGAAGAAAGAAUUGGUGGAGAGAAAUUCUUUAAAGUAGUUACAGGCUCUUUGGGGAUCAGAGAAUGAAUUUUGACUUGAGUUUAGAGACUACAUUAAUAUGAGUGGUACCAAGAUCUAGGAAACAUAUCACAGCCAUAAAAAAAAAAAAAAAAGAUAAAACCAGGAAAAUGGAAAUUUUGCAUCAACUCAAAACUUGAACAGGGAUCAACAGGGAGUCAUUCUGCUGAGCUUUUCAAGCACAGAGGUGUCUGCAGCUCUUUCUUGAUGAAAUGCUGGGGUGGGAGGUAAAUCGUGGGCAUUUCAUGCCUUGGGAGCUGACAGAUAGGUGUCUAGUCCUACGGGCACUCAUUAUAAAUAAUGUUCUCCGGGACCGGCUUAGUACUUAAGUCUUGGCAAUUACUCACAUGUAUUCCAUCCUUCACAGCCCAGCUGUGGGGAUUUCAGAGUCUGGACCUCAUUGCCAGGAGAUUCUUUAGGUUGCAUUCGAGGGGUGAAUUUCUUCCAGCAGCCUUUACUCUUGUUUAUAGCCUUUUUGCCAAUGUAAGGCAGAAGAGGUAGGGACAGGCCAACUCAAACCAAAGGUCCUUCCUGGUUAUGAUGUUUUCUAAAACUGUCUUCCAGAACCUUCUUUAAGGAAGCACAGGAGCAUCUCUUGCCUCAGUAGAGUCAAGACAGCUAGUUUUCAUCUCCCCAGUUAUUAUACAAGGUGGACAGCAAAGGAACUCAACCCUAUAUUUACAAGUAUCCAUCCUCCGACGCAGCAGCAGCAGCAGCAGCAUCCUCCCCCAAACUCCUCUCCCAUCCAGGCUGUCAUGUAACAAUGAGUGGAGUUCCAUGUCCUAUGCAAGUAGGACCUUGUUGCUUAUCCAUUUUAAAUGUAGCAGUGUGUACAUGUCGAUCUUAAACUCCCUAACUAUCCCAUUCCCCCAUCAUUCCCCACUUGAAGUCAGGAUCUUUUCAUUUAAACCUCCUCUUCCUCCUCCUCUCCUUUUGGUCUCCUUGUUUUCCACAGUUCAGUCUAGUCACUCAGUCCUGUCUGAAUUUUUCAACCCGUGGACUGCAGCACACCUGGCCUCCCUGUCCAUCACCAACUCCUGAAGCUUACUCAAACUCAUGUCCAUUGAGUCGGUGAUGUCAUCCAACCAUCUCAUCCUCUGUUGUCCCCUUCUCCUCCUGCCUUCAAUCUUUCCCAGCAUCAGGGUCUUUUCAAAUGAGUCAAUUCUUUGCAUAAGGCGGCCAAAGUAUUGGAGUUUCAGC
ensembl:lncRNA